CACCACUUAUCGCUUCUACCGAUUGAAUGAUUUGGUGAAGUGUUCGGAUUGCAACGACAUGGGCCGUUCGUUGCCUGGGAAGUUAUAAGAAGUCCACUAAACCUUAUCAUUUAGACUUUAAAAUGAUAUGAUUUUUAACAACUCAACAAGCUUCAUGUAAAACAUUAUAGAAAAUUUUCAACUCAAUGCAAAAAUUACCACAUUGUAUAAAUUUUUCAACUCAAUGCAAAAGCUAUCACAUUGUAUAAAUACUUUCAUGAUGGAGAAUUAGGGUUCAAUUCCAAAGAGAAAGCUUGAGAAACGACUACCACAUUCAAGGAAGGCAAAAGGCAUGAAAAUUUCCCAAUCUUGAAAUGAGGAGGUAGUGAUAAAAAAUAACAAUACUUGACUUAUUGGAUUUGGUAAUUGGAAUGAGCACAAUCUAAAUCCCUUAAAAAGGAUCCAUUGGAGGGCAAACAGUUGUGGUAAUUCCAGCUCCAAUAGCUUAUAUUUAAGUUGUUGCAGUUAAAAAUCUUGUAGUAUGACCUUUGGUUGGGUCGAUUGGUCAGUCGCAGGUGUGCACCAGUUGACUCAUUCCUUCUGCCAGCGAUAUGCUCCUGGUCUUAA
rnacentral:ncRNA from 1 species